rnacentral:rRNA from 1 species
AUUGAACGCUGGCGGCAGGCCUAACACAUGCAAGUCGAACGGUAACAGGAAGAAGCUUGCUUCUUUGCUGACGAGUGGCGGACGGGUGAGUAAUGUCUGGGAAACUGCCUGAUGGAGGGGGAUAACUACUGGAAACGGUAGCUAAUACCGCAUAACGUCGCAAGACCAAAGAGGGGGACCUUCGGGCCUCUUGCCAUCGGAUGUGCCCAGAUGGGAUUAGCUAGUAGGUGGGGUAACGGCUCACCUAGGCGACGAUCCCUAGCUGGUCUGAGAGGAUGACCAGCCACACUGGAACUUGGACACGGUCCAGACUCCUACGGGAGGCAGCAGUGGGGAAUAUUGCACAAUGGGCGCAAGCCUGAUGCAGCCAUGCCGCGUGUAUGAAGAAGGCCUUCGGGUUGUAAAGUACUUUCAGCGGGGAGGAAGGGAGUAAAGUUAAUACCUUUGCUCAUUGACGUUACCCGCAGAAGAAGCACCGGCUAACUCCGUG